rnacentral:rRNA from 1 species
CAAGUCGAGCGGAUGAUGGGAGCUUGCUCCCUGAUUUAGCGGCGGACGGGUGAGUAAUGCCUAGGAAUCUGCCUGGUAGUGGGGGAUAACGUUCCGAAAGGAACGCUAAUACCGCAUACGUCCUACGGGAGAAAGCAGGGGACCUUCGGGCCUUGCGCUAUCAGAUGAGCCUAGGUCGGAUUAGCUAGUUGGUGAGGUAAUGGCUCACCAAGGCGACGAUCCGUAACUGGUCUGAGAGGAUGAUCAGUCACACUGGAACUGAGACACGGUCCAGACUCCUACGGGAGGCAGCAGUGGGGAAUAUUGGACAAUGGGCGAAAGCCUGAUCCAGCCAUGCCGCGUGUGUGAAGAAGGUCUUCGGAUUGUAAAGCACUUUAAGUUGGGAGGAAGGGCAGUAAGCUAAUACCUUGCUGUUUUGACGUUACCGACAGAAUAAGCACCGGCUAACUUCGUGCCAGCAGCCGCGGUAAUACGAAGGGUGCAAGCGUUAAUCGGAAUUACUGGGCGUAAAGCGCGCGUAGGUGGUUCGUUAAGUUGGAUGUGAAAGCCCCGGGCUCAACCUGGGAACUGCAUCCAAAACUGGCGAGCUAGAGUACGGUAGAGGGUGGUGGAAUUUUCCUGUGUAGCGGUGAAAUGCGUAAAAUAUA